GAGCAUUGAUGAUCAUUUUGCUUUCAUCUUUUUGGCUGAGAUGAUGAAAGUAGUCUUUCAUGCGAUAGGCUGAAAUUUGGUGGUCUUGAUUGGAAUUUGUUCUUCGGUUUUCUAUUUUUGGGGGUUGAUUAUCGUCUAGUCCUGAUCCUCUCGCAGGUCGGAGUUUUGCAAGACUUGACAAGUGGUGAUCUGGUGCGAGCUGACGAUUGUCUGAAAUUGGAUAAGCUCUGUCUCUCUAGGCAGUAUUGGUUUGAAUGAAAUUUGUUCUCCACUCCCAUAAUUUUCCAAUUAAUGCGAAACCCGAUUCUCAUUCCUUCGGAGGUCUGUUUUGUCGAUGUAUGAUCUGUCAUGGUUCUUUCUUUGCAAGGUGUAAGCACCACAACAGAUCACUAUCCAAUUUAGAUCUGCUUGCUAAUGUCUCCUUCGUAGAAAUGAUCCCUACCUUCUGUUCUCAUCCUUCAAUCUCAUCGGGAGACGUCGUUAUGGGAAGUGUUUGGUUUAGCUCCUCCUCUGAUCCUUUAUCAAACCCACUUUCGGUACAAUUGUUUCACAAUCUGCUUCUGGAUUUUUGUUAUUUGGUGAAUCUGCAGUGGCUUCUUUUCCCCAUGGAGCGAAACUGUUUGUCUUGGGAUGUCGAGGACGAUGAAUACGACGACACCGGUUAGCAUGUUUCAUAUAACACGGAUGUUUGGGCUUUUGGAGGACUGAUGAUCCUUUGGCUGCUGUCUUUUUCUCUUGGUUGAGAUGAUGAACUAGUAGUCUUUCAGGCAAUAGGCUGAAAUUUGCUGGUCUUCAUUGGAAUUUUGUUCUUUGGUUUUUUUAUCUUUGGGGGUUGAUUAUUGUGUAGUCCUGAUCCUCUCACAGGUUGGAGUUUUGCUAGACUCGACAAGUGGUGAUCUGGUGCGAGCUGACGAUUGUCUGAAAUUGGAUAAGCUCUGUCUCUCUUGGCAGUUAUUGGUUUGAAUGAAAUUUGUUCUCCACUCCCAUAAUUUUCCAAUUAAUGCGAAACCCGAUUCUCAUUCCUUCGGAGGUCUGUUUUGUCGAUGUAUGAUCUGUCAUGGUUCUUUCUUUGCAAGGUGUAAGCACCACAACAGAUCACUAUCCAAUCCAGAUCCGCUUGCCAGUGUCUCCUUUUUAGAAAUAGUCCCCCCCUCGUGUUCUCAUCCUUCAAUCUCAUUGGGAGACGUCGUUAUGGAAAGUGUUUGGUUUAGCUCCUCCUCUGAUCCCUUAUCAAACCCACUUUCUGUACAAUUGUUUCACAAGCCGCUACUGGAUUUUUGUUAUUUGGUGAAUCUGCAGUGGCUUCUUUUCCCCAUGGAGCGAAACUGUUUGUCUUGGGAUGUCGAGGACGAUGAAUACGACGACACCGGUUAGCAUGUUUCAUAUAACACGGAUGUUUGGGCUUUUGGAGGACUGAUGAUCCUUUGGCUGCUGUCUUUUUCUCUUGGUUGAGAUGAUGAACUAGUAGUCUUUCAGGCAAUAGGCUGAAAUUUGCUGGUCUUCAUUGGAAUUUUGUUCUUUGGUUUUUUUUUAUCUUUGGGGGUUGAUUAUUGUGUAGUCCUGAUCCUCUCACAGGUCGGAGUUUUGCUAGACUCGACUAAGUGGUGAUCUGGUGCGAGCUGAUGAUUGUCUGAAGUUGGAUAAGCUUUAUCGCGUCUGGAGGCAGUUAUCGGUUUGAUUGAAAUUUGUUCUCCAGUCCCAUAAUUUUGCGAUUAAUGCGAAACCCAAAUCUCAUUCCUUCGGAGGUCUGUGUAUGGUCGAUAUAUGAUCUGUGAUGGUUCUUUCUUUGCAAGGUGUACAUGCCACAACAGAUCAGUAUGCAAUACAGAUCCACUUGCCGGUGUCUCCUUGCUAGAAGUAGUCCCUCCCUCAUGUUCUCAUCCUUCAAUCUCAUCGGGGGAUGUCGUUAUAGGAAGUGUUUGGUCUAGCUCCUCCUCUGAUCCUCUAUCAAACUCACUUUCUGUACAAUUGUUUCACGAGCUGCCUCUGGAUUUUUGUUAUUUGGUGAAUCCGCAGUGGCUUCUUUUCUACAUGGAGCGAAAGUGUUUAUCUGAGGAUGUCCAGGACGUGAAUGCGAUGACUCCAGUCAGCUUGUUUCAUAAAACACGGAUGUUUGGGCUUUUUGGAGGACUGAUGAUCAUACAAUCGUCAGCUCGCACCAGAUUGAUGUUGUCUGCAUGUUGCAUCUUUCCUCUUGUAGCAAUCUCUUCAUCCGAGCAUGUUGUCUAAGAAUGACAAAUACAUAGAAGCUGGAUGAGCGAAUUUUGAGGAUUUAUAGGCAUCUUGUAGUUUUGAUUUAAGUUUGUCUUCAGUUGAUUAUCUUCCGGAGCAGUGAGAUAAUUAUUAUCGAGUUCUAAUUCCUCUACUGGAAGCUUUUCCAUGUUGAGAAGUGGUGUGAUCUAUUGCCUUCUUCUGUAGGGUGAGUUGAUGAUUGUUUGAAAUUGGAUAAACAGCCAUUUUGUGGAUUCUAAGGACUGGUAUAUAUGAUGAGGUUGGUCAAUUAUUACUUAGAAUGACUGAGCUUUUCUUGAGUUUGACGAUCUAUUCACAUCUAUCUUCGGUUGGGUUGGUGUAUGGGCAGUGUCCUUGAUCAUCUCGAGGACCAGUUGAAGAGCUGAAAUUUUGAUAAACUCCUGCUGCGUAGGCACUUUGUUGAAUGUCAUUCCUCAGUUGAUUCCCUUGGAGUGGAAAGAUGACAAUUCAGCUUUUUCUGUAUGGCUAAGUUGAUGAAUUGCGGAGUCCGCGCUUUGUUUGAAAUUGGAUAAGCUCCCCCUUCUUGGAUUUGGUUCCUUUGAUGUCUUCACUCUAUAUGUGUACAUGGAUGAAUCCUUAAUCAAUUAAUAUUUUGGCCAUGCUA